rnacentral:rRNA from 1 species
UACGAAGGGGGCUAGCGUUGCUCGGAAUUACUGGGCGUAAAGCGCACGUAGGCGGCUUUCUAAGUCGGGGGUGAAAUCCUGGAGCUCAACUCCAGAACUGCCUUCGAUACUGGAAAGCUCGAGUCCGGGAGAGGUGAGUGGAACUGCGAGUGUAGAGGUGAAAUUCGUAGAUAUUCGCAAGAACACCAGUGGCGAAGGCGGCUCAGCUGGCCCGGUA